rnacentral:rRNA from 1 species
GACGAACGCUGGCGGCACGCCUAACACAUGCAAGUCGAACGGACGCGGAGGAAGCUUGCUUCUUCCAAGUUAGUGGCGGACGGGUGAGUAACACGUGAGCAACCUGCCUUUAAGAGGGGGAUAGCUUCUGGAAACGGAUGGUAAUACCCCAUAACAUAUCAUUAUCGCAUGGUAGUGAUAUCAAAGAUUUAUCGCUUAGAGAUGGGCUCGCGUCUGAUUAGAUAGUUGGUGAGGUAACGGCCCACCAAGGCGACGAUCAGUAGCCGACCUGAGAGGGUGAUCGGCCACAUUGGAACUGAGACACGGUCCAGACUCCUACGGGAGGCAGCAGUGGGGAAUAUUGGGCAAUGGGCGCAAGCCUGACCCAGCAACGCCGCGUGAAGGAAGAAGGCUUUCGGGUUGUAAACUUCUUUUGUCGAGGAAGAGUAGAAGACUGUACUCGGCGAAUAAGCCACGGCUAACUACGUG